rnacentral:rRNA from 1 species
AUGGCGAAAUGCUUCCUGCUGCUCGCCUUCUUGGCGUUUCUCCUGCCGGCGGCCUAUGCGACGUGCCACCCUGACGACCUUCAAGCGCCGCGGGGCUUCGCCGGGAAGAGCAAUAGAAGAACACUCCAACAACAACAACCAAACACCAUUACUGGGACCAACAACAGUGUUAGAUCUGGAAGUGGCAACAUUGUAUCUGGGAGCGGCAACACUGUUGUAUCUGGGGACAACAACAAUGUUUCUGGGAGCAACAACACAGUCACAUCUGGGAGCAGCAAUGUCAUACUUGACACCAACCAUGUCGUAAUUGGGACCAACAAUACUGUAUCCGGCAAUAACAAUAGGGUAACUGGGAACAAUAAUGUUGUAUCCGGGAGCAACCAAGUCGUGUACGGGGACAACAAAGUCGUAACUGGCUAA